AUGGGAGAGAAAUUGAAGGAUAUGGGGGUCUGGGAUACUAGUGGGGAUGCGAAUGAUAUGUGGGAUAGGACAGCUAGUUAUAUUAGGGUUGUAGCAAAGGAAGUGCUAGGAGUCUCAACAGGCAGUCAUAGUCAGCAUCGAGGGGACUGGGUUCAAUGCUUAUGGUCACUGAUCAAGUGGGUUGCUAGUGGAGGAAAGAGUUUACACGCUCGGCUAGCAAAUGAAAUCACGAUGAUCAUCACUCUAUCAGCAGUCAACAAGAUGAGUUUGACUAAAUCAACGGUGUAUGAAGUGUUGAGAAUUGAACCUCCAACGCCGUUUCAAUAUGAAAUAAUACAAAUUGCUAGUUGCUCUGAAUUAUCAAACUUCCGGUUCAUGAAAUCCCUGGGGACUAUGGUUUCCCUAUAAUUAGCGCGCUUAAAGAUCGAUACGAUUAUUUCUAUAACCAAGGUGAAGAUGCUUGGUUCCAUAACAAAGCUGAAAAAUACAAAUCCACUGUUGUCAAAAUCAACAUGGCACCAGGUCCAUUCACCUCUAAUGACUACAAAUUGGUGGCAUUUCUAGAUGCCACCAGUUUUGUUUACAUGUUUGAUAAUUCCCUCAUCGACAAAACUGACACUCUUGGUGGUACAUUUAAGCCCGGUAAAGAAUAUUACGGCGGUUAUCGUCCCCUUGCUUUCGUCGAUACGAAAGAUCCGAACCAUGCCGCACUAAAAGGCUACAUUAUUUCUUCGUUCGCAAAGAGACAUAACUUAUUCAUUCCUCUAUUCAGGAGCUCAUUGUCUGAUCACCUUUUUAAUAAUCUCGAAAAACAGGUUACCGAACAGGGGAAAUCGGAUUUCAACGCCCUCCUCCCCACUAUGACGUUUGGUUUCAUUUUUCGUUUGCUUUGUGAUCAGACUAAUCCGAUUGAUACAGUUCUUGGCGCUCAAGGACCGGAACAUCUUCGUAAAUGGCUUUUCCCACAGCUAAUUCCAUCCUUGAGCGCGAAGAAACUUCCAAACUUCAUAGAAGAUAUCCUCUUCCAUAAUUUUCUAAUACCAUUUGGUUUUGUGAAAAGUGAUUACAACAAACUUGUUGAUGUAUUUAGCAAGUCUGCAGUGUCCAUGUUGGAUGAAGCCGAAAAACUUGGAAUCAAAAGAGAAGAAGCCGUACAUAACAUGCUUUUUCUCGUGGGGAUCAAUAUGUUCGCCGGCUUGAACGCUUUCUUUCCUCAUCUCUUAAGGUUUGUGGGAGAAGCAGGGUCUAGUCUACACACACGACUAGUUAACGAAAUCAGGACCGCUAUUAAGGAAGAAGGUGGAGCAAUCACAUUAUCAGCAAUCAACAAAAUGAGUUUGGUCAAAUCUGUAGUCUACGAAACAUUGAGGCUUCGCCCACCUGUACCAUUACAGUACGGUAAGGCGAAGAAAGACUUCAUGGUCCAAAGCCACGAUGCGUCUUACAAGAUCAAUAAAGGACAAUUCGUCGUUGGAUAUCAACCCAUGGCUACUAGGGACCCUAAAAUUUUCGCGAAUCCUGAUGAGUUCGUUCCCGAUAGGUUCAUGAAUGAUGGUGAGAAAAUGCUGAAACAUGUUCUAUGGUCUAAUGGAAGGGCAACGGAGGAACCAGCACCAGACAACAAGCAAUGUCCAGGGAAAGACAUGGUGCACCUAUUGGGUAGGUUAAUUUUGGUGGAGUUUUUCAUGAGAUACGAUACGUUCACCGUGGAAAUUACACCCCUAUUUCGUGCACCAAAUGUUGCUAUCAAGACAUUAACUAAAGCAUCUGUGUGAUCAAAGUGUGUGCAUUGGAUCUCUCGUAUUGAAUUUUAUUAAUUUGGAUUGUAUUGUAUUAUAUUUAUUUA